CAAUAGCGUAUAUUAAAGUUGUUGCGGUUAAAAAAGCUCGUAGUUGGAUUUCUGCUGAGGACGACCGGUCCGCCCUCCGGGUGAGCAUCUGGUUCGGCCUUGGCAUCUUCUUGGUGAACGUAUCUGCACUUGACUGUGUGGUGCGGUACCCAGGACUUUUACUUUGAGGAAAUUAGAGUGUUUCAAGCAGGCACACGCCUUGAAUACAUUAGCAUGGAAUAAUAAGAUAGGACCUUGGUUCUAUUUUGUUGGUUUCUAGAGCUGAGGUAAUGAUUAAUAGGGAUAGUUGGGGGCAUUCGUAUUUAAUUGUCAGAGGUGGAAUUCUCGGAAUUUUGUUUAAAGACUAAACUUAUGCGAAAGCAUUUGCCAAGGAU
rnacentral:rRNA from 1 species